GCUGGGGUGGCGGAAUUGGUAGACGCGCACGACUCAAAAUCGUGUGGAGCAAUCCAUGGGAGUUCGAUUCUCCCUCCCAGCACCG
rnacentral:tRNA from 1 species